UUGGCCUCCCAAAGUGUUGGGAUUAUAGACAUGAGCCACCGUGCCUGGCCCCUAUAUCAGUUUUUAAAAAUUGCUUCCACCUUUCCACCCCCUAGUGCUGCUGGGCCUGCAGAUAUCUGUUCCACAGCAUGGAGUUUGUUAAAGUUGUUAAGAAUAAGGCCUACUUUAAGAGAUACCAAAUGAAAUUUAAAGAUGACAAGAUGGUAAAACUGACUACUAUGCUCAGAAAUGCUUGGUAAUACAGGAUAAAAAUAAAUACAACACACCCCAAUACAGGAUGAUAGUUCAUGUAACAAACAGAGAUAUGAUUUGUCAGAUUGCUUAUGCCCGUAUAGAGGGGGAUAUGAUAGCCUGCGCAGCAUAUGCACAUGAACUGCCAAAAUAUGGUGUGAAGGUUGGCCUGACAAAUUAUGCUGCAGCGUAUUGUACUGGCGUGCUGCUGGCCCACAGCCUUCUCAAUAGGUUUGGCAUUGGACAAGAUCUAUGAAGGCCAAGUGGAGGUGACUGGCAAUGAAUACAAUGUGGAAAGCAUUGAUGGUCCACCAAGUGCCUUUACCUGCUAUUUGGAUGCAGGCCUUGCGAGAAUUACCACUGGCAAUAAAGUUUUUGGUGGCCUGGAUGGAGGUUUGUCUAUCCCUCACAGUACCAAAUGAUUCCCUGGUUAUGAUUCUGAAAGCAAGGAAUUCAAUGCAGAAGUACACCAGAAGCACAUCAUAGGCCAGAAUGUUGCAGAUUACAUGCGCUACUUAAUGGAAGAAGAUAAAGAUGCUUACAAGAAACAGUUCUCUCAAUACAUAAAGAAUAGCAUAACUUCAGACAUGAUGGAGGAGAUGUAUAAGAAAGCUCAUGCUGCUACAGGAGAGAAUCCAGUCUAUGAAAAGAAGCCCAAGAAAGAAGUUAAAAAGAAGAGGUGGAACCGUCCCAAAAUGUUCCUUGCUCAGAAGAAAGAUCGCAUAGCUCAAAAGAAGGUAAGCUUCCUCAGGGCUCAGGAGCGGGCUGCUGAGAACUAAACCAAACAAUUUUCUAUGAGGAUUUUUCAGAUAAAGACAAUAAACUUAUGGACAGAAAAAAAAAAACAAAACUGUUCCCAUUGCAGUUCAGCAUAAAUCAGUGACCUGUAAUUCUUGUCCACCUGCACACAUAUCCAGCUUGUUAAUCUGCUGACAGAUUAGAUACAUCCUGGGAGCUCGCCGAUGGUAUUCUGUCCAUAAUUUCAAUGCAAAAUGUAAUUCAGAGUUGAUGCUGAUAAGAAGUGACAGUACCACUAAGUGAAAAGCAUAAAUACUGGAUAGUCUUUGGAACCUUGGAUUUUCAUUCUGUUAUAGCACAAAUAACCCUUUAGAUUUGGAUCUGAACUUCUUUCUAAGCACAUGACUGAUGAUGAAUCUGAAAAGACAUAUUUAUAAGUAAAGAAGCAGGCAAUAACAGUUUAUGGAGGGGAUCAUUUCAGGAAAGGCAAGUAGUUCCAGGUCAUUGGCACUGUGAGGCAAAGUCUAAAAGGGAAGAAGAAUCAGAUGAAAGGCCUUUUGUAUGCUAUGAUGUAUUUGGGUUUUAUCAAGGUAAAGAGAAAAUAUUAUUUAAUUAUUUGAAUGACAAGAUCAGAUAACUAUUUUCAAAAGAAUAUUUUGGCCACAAUCAAGAGAAAUGCCUACUGGGAAAGAGAGAAGCACGCAGGAGUGGUAGGGAAUCACUUGCUUUUCCAGACUUAUUUCCCACUCACACCAUACCCCUUAAGCAAACUGAAUUUCUGACUCCUAGAAAACGUUAUACUCUUCAUGUCUCAAUGCUUUGGCACAUUUUAUUUGUCUAGACUGCUGGCCCUCUCACUUAUCCCCUGAUGAGCUUCUUCAAACUAAACACCUCCUUUCUGAGGCCUGCUGCGAUCCAAAUAGAAUACAAAGUUGAAUAUCUCUACGAUUUUGAAUGAUCAAAUGCAUAGAUGAUAAUACAAUUAUUUUACUUUACAUAGGAAGUCACAGAAGUAAGGAAAGGAGGGAGCACAAUCAGCUCUGAACUGUGUGGAGUGGAAAUGAAAGAAGGGAGCUGACUUGGGAUAAAGACAGCUGACUAGGGCUAAAAAUGUGGAAAACAGUCCAGUGAUACAGAUUUGGAGUCACCAAUAUAAGUGGCAUUUCAAAGUCAAGAAUGGCAAGAUUGCCAGGGAAACUACAGAAGUAAGAAAAGAGGGCUAAGGGCAGGCAGACUUCCUGGAACCACAGGUUAAUUAUCCCUUAUCUGAAAUGCCUGGGACCAGCAUUGUUUCAGAUUUUGAAUUUGUUUCAGGGUUUAGAAUAUUUGCAUAUGCAUAAUAAGAUAUCUUAGGGAUAUGUGAGGUCCAAGUCUAAACACAAAAUUCAUUUAUAUUUCUCAUACACCUUACACACAUACCCUGAAGGUACUCUUAUACAAUCAUUUUAAUAAUUUUUUGCAUGAAACACAGUGUUGACCAUUUUGACUGCCACCUACCACAUGAGAUUGGAUGUGGAAUUUUCCACUUGUGUCAUCAUGUCGGCAAUCAUUCAGAUUUUAGAGCAUUUCAAAUUUUCAGAUUAGGGAUGCUCAACCUAUACAAACAUUAAAAGGUAAGACAGAAGAAGAGAUGAAAGACCAGAAAGAGUGUCACUACAGAAGUCACGAGACUUUCACAGCAUGAGCUAUGGAGGAAUGCCACUGAGAGUCCAAUAAGAUGAGAUGUAGGUGAGAGGAUUUUCAGAGCAGUGGUAGGUCCAGGCAAGGACUGAACUUCUUAAUGAGUAAAUGAUUAGGUAUUAAGAAGUCCAGGCAAGGAAUGAAGAUUUUUCAAGAAGAUUCACUGUAAAGUGAGAAAAGAGAUAAGGUACUAGCUAGAGGGAAGUUGAGAUUGUUUUGGUUUUGCUUUUAAGAGCUGAGGGACUUGUACAUAUUUAUAGGCUAAGGAGGGCUGGCACCGAGGCUGAUGCCUGGAAUCUCAGCACUCUGGGAGGCCGAGGUGGGUGGACCAUUUGAGCUCAGGAGUUGGGAGACCA